CCAACCAUAUUUAACUCGAUCAAUGAUUACCUUUAUAGAGAAAAUAUAUGCAAAGCAAUUAAGCAAGAAAAUAGUGCAAUUGAAUUGAAUGCAGAUAGAAAUAAAAAAAUAAAAAAUAAAAAGAAGAAGAAGAAUGUACACAGAAAUAGUAAGGGUGGUCCUUGUUUUAGAGUUUAUAUAUUUUUUAGAUAUUCCUUUAACAGAAAGUGGGUCGUUUGGAAUAGGGCUAUUUUGAGAGAGAAUAUAAGUCAACUGUCAAAGGACUUCUUUAAAAGGAAAGAUGCUUGACAAUAAGGAUGGCAUUGGCAUGUGAUGGGAGCAUUGUGGACAUCAUUGGCAACAUGGAAGUUGACUUGACUUCAAUGACAAGACCAACUAUACCUAUAAAUAAAUAAAAAAUAAAAAAUUCAAAGUUAUAUAAUAAUGCAUUGUCUUUGCACUAUACUUACAGAAACGGUCAUCGUUAAAUCUUAUUAACGAUUAAAUAUUUACAGAUUCAAUCAUCACGUCAAUUCAUCCUCUUUAGAUUAUUUAACCUUAACUUCUCUAAACUUACUUGUACCUUAAAUGAUAUUUAGCCUAACUUUAUGUCAAAGAAAGCCUAACAUAAUGGUUAAACAUUCCCUAAUAAAAAAAAUGGUUAAACAUUUUCUUUUACCAAGAUAUUAGCUAAACAUAAAAAUUAACUUUAUUUAAUUUCCAUGUUUCAUAUCCAUAUACCUCUUUAGAUUGCUUCUUUUAAUUUAAGGUGCUAUUAGCAAUAUAGUAGUAUUAUAUUUUCUAUCAAGAAAAAGUAGUAUACUAAUUUUUUUUUUUUAAUUCAUCAAACAGUUUUAUUCAUAUGAAUUAGGGAUGUUGAAUGAAAUACAAGAAAUAUUCAUUCUAAACACCAAAAGUAUGUUUUUUUAAACCAAAAAUUGAUUAAUAUAUAAUAAUAACAAUCAACACACAAGACGUGCAUUAAAAAAAUAGAAGAAACCAUUACAUCCUACAAAAAUACAUCAAAAAGCUAACCAAACCUGCCUCUGAAAAAUUAGCAAAGCAAUAAUUGACCAUUGUCACGAUAUGAAACUAAUUAUGUAAAGUUAAUACGAUCCAUAUUUUUUUUUGACAAGUAAUACGAUCCAUAUUGUUCAUUUUAAUUUCCACUUUAUAAUCUAGUGUAGAGAUUGGAAAAAAGAAUUUAAUGGAUCAUUUUUUUUAGAGGACAAUUGAAUGGAUCAUGCACCACCACGAUGUUGAACGAUGUUGAAUAAAUCUUCUAAGUGGGACCUACUGAAUAUUGGAAAAAUUUCUUAGUCCAAGUUUAUUCUAAGCACAAUUUUUCUAUUCCCAGUGCCAAAUUCAUACUUAGUACAUUCCUUACUUAGCACACUUUUGAAGCUUUUGAGAGCUUAGAUAUAGGAGAAUUUUGUUUGUGUGAGAGCAGUUGUUGUUGGUUAAUAUUAUCCUAAAAUGUGUGUUGAUAAUAAUAAGGCUUAACAGCGGGUAUGACCCCCUAAAUAUUAGGACGUUUCGAUUUUGAUCCCCUGAUAAAAUAAAAUAAAAUAUAAUUCAGCCUCUUAAAAAUUGUCCAUUUUGCGGUUUUGACCUCUAUGACUAAUUUUGACCAAUUUAACGUUGACGUGUGUAGUUUUAAAAAAAAUAUUUAAAAUGCCACGUGUGAAAUGUUUUAAUUAAAAAAUAAAUUAAAAAAAUUAAUUACACAAGUGGCAUCCACAUCAACUUUGAAUUGAUCAAAAUUGACCUAAGAACAAUACUUAAGGGGCUGAAUUGUAUUUUAUUUUGUUAGAGGACUAAAAUCACAACUUUCUGAUACCUAAAAGACCAAAACUGUUAUUAAACCUAAUAAUAAUCCUCAUUUGAAAUUUGUGUCCUAUACUAAAUUAAAAACCAUUGUUUAUGAGGAGAUUUUAAAUGUUGAUAUCUUGCAAUAUGAAGACAUUGAUGUUGAAAUAGAUGAGAUGAAGUCACAAACUUCGACGGUGCAGCAAAUCGUGAUUGAAAUUAUAAUUUGAGUUUCUCUUUUGCAGAGAGCUUUAAAUUUUUUUUUUUUUUUUAAUAAGCUAAAAUGAUAUAUUAUCAAACCAACAAAGCAGUCAACACAACACAAGGUGUGUCUUAGAGACUACCAGAAAUACACUGAAUUAACAGUGACACAAGGAACUAAACAAAACAACAUUGGCCUAUGCCCAAACAAGUUAAAGGGUUUGACCACCAUUGUUGAGUUCCAUAAGUAAAAAUGGUUUUUUUAGCUUUCAGUCAUCCUAAAGACAACACCUUAUCAAACAAAUAAGGAAUGGGAGUGAUUACAUUUUUAAACAAGCGACUAUUGCGCUCAUUCCACACAACCCAAACACAGAGGAGCCAAGGUUUUAAAAAUUCUAUUAACUAGUUUUUUGGGUUCAACUCAUUUGAAUCAACUAUCUCAUAACAACAAAUAUAGCAUCAUAGCCAAGGUUUUAUUCAAGUUCUCUUCAAGUUCAAAAAAUAUUUCCAAGAAAAAUCAGAGAACACAAUUGUUCAUAAUAUCUAAUCCAAGGGAGAUCUUUAUAAUAGUAUGUAAUUUUCAUUUUCAAUGAGUUCGGUUUAUGCCUCUUAGGUUUCUGAUUUGGGAGUUUCUACGGUACACCCUUCAAUUAAGGUGUACCAGUACACAUAUUUCAUAAAUCUACAAGUUAACGAUAAUUUUUAUGUGAUAAACAGAUAUUUAUCGACUUUUAUAUUUUAGAAAAUAUUAUCCCAUAAGAAAAAACAUCAUUUCAUUUUUUAUAAGAAUUAUACCAAAUUUUUUAACAUUUUAUUGAAAAAAAUAAUCAAUAUUCACUAUUAUGAGUAAUAAAAAUUAAAAAAAUUUGAAUUUUGCUUUGCCGACACUUUUGAAAAAUAAAAUAUAAUUAUUAUAAUUAUAAAUGAUAGAAAAUAUUUUUUUUCUAAAAAAAAUAAAUCAUUAAACUAUUCAUUUAAAUACACGGGUGUAUCGGUACAUUCAAAAUUAUCGAGUGUACCAUAGAAAUUGCCUUCUGAUUUUCCUAUUUUUUGUAAUAAUAUAUAUUAGCAUAUAAAACAAAUUCUAUCUUUAUUUAAUUAUACUCCUUUCAUCAAUGAAAAUAUACAUAAAUACAGAUACCAAAAAAAAAAAAACAAAUCUAAAUACCCAUCACAUUCAUUUAUGUUGCUUGUAUUAUUUGCUCCCAUAUAGUAACUAUACAUUGUUAUUUCUUACCUUCCUUCAAAAAAAAAAAAAAACCUUGUUAUUUCUUACCUAAGGCUCCCUUAUCGCGUGGAAAGAAUCAUGAAUAAUGAACCAUGUCAUAUAGGUAGCUGAUUCAAACUAAAGGAAAUGAUCCACUUGCAUUUUUUUUUUUACAAAACACAAUAUCUUCAUUUAUUCAAAUUUGAUAUAAUACAUAUACAAUAACAUGAUCAACGUCACUAAAAACAUAAAAGGUAAAUAUGCAAACAAACUCAUACACCCAUGUUAAUAACAUACAACGGUAAAAUAAAUAUGAUAAAAUCUAAAUCACUAGAAUACUCAUGCUUAUGAAUCUGCAAUAUUGACGUCCAAAUCAUUAAUUGACUAAAGAUGAUUUUUCAAUAUGAACCAAACAAACACCGCAAUAAGACGCAAAAUCAAACAACGCCGCAAAAGACGACGAACAACACAACGCCACAUUCAAACGAUGAAAUCACGAAGAAAAAAAACACAAGAAAAAACUUAUUAUAUGUGAAAAUCACUUAUUUAAAUCUAAAGAAAUGGAAGGAAAAAAAAAUGCAUAUGGAUGAUUCUAAAUCAAAAAUUGAUCUAAAUCCACCAUUCUUUGAUGAGUGAAAGAGAAAACGAACUUCAAUCAACUUGCAAAAAUUUUAUGAAUCUGUUGAAAUUAUGUUAAGCCAAAAAAACAUCAUUGACUAUCAAACCUAAUAAUAAUCCAAGUUUAGUAAAAAAAUAUUCCAAUCAAAGUAUUUUGAAUUGGUUAGCCCACUGAUUUUAUGUAUUUUUUUCCACGUGCCCGAUCUUUGCAGUGUCACCCCAUGGUAUAUUUUUCCUAAAACUAACUUUUAUAUUUUCAACCUAAUUAUUACUUUUGAGAUUGUCUUUAUCUGUUUUGAAAGGAUAAAAGAGAAAUAAUAAUAAACUUGACAAAAAAAUAGAGAAAUAAUAUAAAAUAUUAAUGAAAAAAAUGAAUGACAUUGAACC
rnacentral:lncRNA from 1 species